GGGCCUGUAGCAUAGUGGCAGUGCACCCGCCUUGCACGCGGGGUGCGGGAGUUCGAUUCUCCCCAGGUCCACCA
rnacentral:tRNA from 1 species